GCCAUACAAUAUGUUUUCAGAGACAAAAGCACUCAGUGCUGAGAUGACCUUUCUCUAUUACCUUUGACUGAUGGCA
rnacentral:snoRNA from 1 species